CCUCCCCCUCCCCGCCCUCCCCGGGCCCACAACAAGCUGAGGUCCGCCCGGGCCAAGAUGUCCUGGGGAGCAGCCUCUCCAGCUGUGCCACCGAGGAGACCCUGCUGGGGUCCCGUCAGCCCACCCAGGAGGAGCUGGACGACCCCCCCGGGCCGCAGCCGACCGCCGACCUGCUCCGCCGGAGGCUGCUGAAGACCCCCCGCAUAGACAUGGGCUCCCCGGAGGACGAGGACCCCCCCCCCAGUGUUCCAGGGGAUGUUUCCCAAACUGAAGGGGAAAGUCGAGAAGAGGAGGAAGAGGAAGAGGAGGAGGGGAACAAAGAGCUGGAGAAGGAAGGUGAG
ensembl:lncRNA